AUGGAAAAUCAUCUUUUUUUAUCUGGAAACUAUACGUUAACGAUACGGGCUUGCAUCCGUCCUCUUGUCGGCAUAGAUGAGCAGAGAAGAUUCGUCUUUUUGUUAGGAAGUUGCUUACUAGAGAUACUAUGUUCUGGUUUUUUUAUUCUUUCAAAAAGGAGGUUAAAAGCCCUCGGCCUCUGCAUCAUUAUGAUGCACAUAAUGGUAUUUAUUAAAGUUGAUGCAAGACAACAAGGCCAAUGUCAUCAACAAGUGGGGAACAUAAAAAAUCAAUAUUUCAACUUCUUUCGCAACAACGAGUUUAAAGGUUAA
rnacentral:rRNA from 1 species